UACGGAGGGUGCGAGCGUUGUCCGGAAUCAUUGGGCGUAAAGGGCGCGUAGGUGGCCCGGUCAGUCUUUGGUGAAAGCGCGGGGCUCAACCCUGCGUCGGCCAGGGAUACUGCCGCGGCUGGAGCACUGUAGAGGCAGGCGGAAUUCCGGGUGUAGCGGUGGAAUGCGUAGAGAUCCGGAGGAACACCGGUGGCGAAGGCGGCCUGCUGGGCAGUUUUGCUGACACUGAGGCGCGACAGCGUGGGGAGCAAACAGG
rnacentral:rRNA from 1 species